rnacentral:rRNA from 1 species
GAUUAACGCUGGCGGCGUGCAUAACACAUGCAAGUCGAACGAAGUGGCGGACGGGUGAGUAACGCGUGAGUAACCUGCCCCCCUCUCUGGGAUAACAGUUGGAAACGGCUGCUAAUACCGGAUAGGGGGGGAUGGACUCGGGUCCUAUCAGCUUGUUGGUGGGGUAGUGGCCUACCAAGGCGACGACGGGUAGCCGGCCUGAGAGGGGGAACGGCCACAUUGGGACUGAGGUACGGCCCAAACUCCUACGGGGGGCAGCAGUGGGGAAUAUUGCACAAUGGGGGAAACCCUGAUGCAGCAACGCCGCGUGCGGGAUGACGGCCUUCGGGUUGUAAACCGCUUUCAGCCAUGACGCGGUAGUGGCAGAAGAAGCACCGGCUAACUACGUGCCAGCAGCCGCGGUAAUUC